ACAAGAUUUGGAUGGGACGAAGGUAUCUCUGACGAGCAGGGCAUCGGAAUUGAACGUCUAUGUGGGAAGCGAUGCCACAACAGUAGCAGCUGGAUCUGUACAAAACAGAAAAGCUAAAUUUACUCUCGAGAAACAGCCAGAGGGAAUAAAUAUAUACACUUUGAGAAACGAGAGAUAUAGAAGGCAAUUUUUGACAAUCACUACAGAAAAGCAACUAGAAGCGAAUCGUAAAAGUGACAACUCUAACUUUCGCGUAACUGAGACAAACGAAAGUUACUACAGAUUUGAAUCUGUUUCCUUCCCAAGGUCCUUCAUAGGUGUCAACACUAGAGGGGAAAUUGUUCCUCCCGAUCGGGUAGUACUUGGUCCUGAAUCUCAAUUCUACGAUGGCAGUUCUAAUACAAGAUCGAAAUCGUCUUCAGACAAUUAUUGCAAAUGUCAACUGAUUUAAAAAUUGACGGUUGUUUUUAGGUUGUCUACAGAAAAUUGCUGUCUAUAGAUUGUUUUAGUGGUUAUUGUUUAUCAGCAUUACGCGUACACUGUCUUAGUUUAU